rnacentral:rRNA from 1 species
GACGAACGCUGGCGGCGUGCCUAAUACAUGCAAGUCGAACGCAGUGGGGACGGGUGAGUAACACGUGGGUAACCUCCCAUCAGAGGGGAUAACACUUGGAAACAGGUGCUAAACCGAUACUGAUGGAUGGACCCGCGGUGCAUUAGCUAGUUGGGGAGGUAACGGCUCACCAAGGCCACGAUCCGUAGCCGACCUGAGAGGGUGAUCGGCCACACUGGGAAUGAGACACGGCCCAGACUCCGACGGGAGGCAGCAGUAGUGAAUCUUCGGCAAUGGACGAAAGUCUGACCGAGCAACGCCGCGGGAGUGAAGAAGGUUUUCGGAUCGUAAAGCUCUGUUGUUAGAGAAGCGUUAUCUAACCAGAAAGCCACGGCUAACUACGUGCAAGCAGCCGCGGUAAUAC